UGAGGGAUAUUGCACAAUGGGGGAAACCCUGAUGCAGCGACGCCGCGUGGGUGAUGAAGGACUUCGGUUCGUAAAACCCUUUUACAGGUGACGCGGUAGCCUGUGAAUAAGCCUCGGCUAACUACGUGCCAGCAGCCGCGGUAAAACGUAGGAGGCAAGCGUUAUCCGGAGUUACUGGGCGUAAAGGGCGCGCAGGUGGUUGUGUAAGUGUUGUGUGAAAGCACUCGGCUAAACUGGGUGAGGUCGCAACAGACUGCACGACUAGAGGGUGAUAGAAGCACGCGGAAUUCGGGGUGUAGCGGUGAAAUGUGUAGAGAUCCCGAGGAACACCAGUGGUGAAAACGGCGUGCUGGGUCAUACCUGACACUGAGGCGCGAAAGCUUGGGGAGCGAACGGGAUUAGAUACCCCUGUAGU
rnacentral:rRNA from 1 species